AAAAAGACAAACCCUGAUUUUCGUGCCCAACGUUUGACCGUCCGUCUUAUUUAAAAAAAUUAAAAAGAUAAGUCAUACAUAAAGUAUUAAUCAUGUUUUAUCAUCUAACAACAAUGAAAAUACUAAUUAUAAAAAAAUUUCAUAUAAGACGGAGAGUCAAACGUUGGCACGGAAAUUUAGGGUUUGCCUUUUU
rnacentral:pre_miRNA from 1 species